rnacentral:rRNA from 1 species
UACGUAGGUGGCAAGCGUUAUCCGGAAUUAUUGGGCGUAAAGCGCGCGUAGGCGGUUUUUUAAGUCUGAUGUGAAAGCCCACGGCUCAACCGUGGAGGAUCAUUGGAAACUGGAAGACUUGAGUGCAGAAGAGGAGAGUGGAAUUCCAUGUGUAGCGGUGAAAUGCGUAGAUAUAUGGAGGAACACCAGUGGCGAAGGCGGCCCUCUGGACUGUGACUGACGCUGAGGCUCGAAAGCGUGGGUAGCAAACAGG